rnacentral:lncRNA from 1 species
AUGACAACGAAUGGAUGUUGUCAAGAAACAGGCCACAAAGGGGACAUGGGCUCAGACCCCGCUCGCAACAUGGCGGACGUUGGUUCAGGGUGGCUGCCCACAACAUGGCGGACGUUGGUUCAGGGUGGCUGCCCACAACAUGGCGGACGUUGGUUCAGGAUGGCGGCCCACAACGUGGUGGCGGCGGCGAGGGGCGGCUUGCUCUGCGGGGCAUCGCGAGCAGGACAGAAACCUUUGUUCAUGUCUUCUGGUAGUCAUCAUCUUCUUUUGAGCUGCACCUACAACACAAAGAACAAGUGAACGAGCAACUUUACGCUUCUCCAGAACAGCUUAAAACAGUUCUAAUAAAGUACAAAGCAACAGCA